AGCGAACGCUGGCGGCAGGCCUAACACAUGCAAGUCGAGCGGCCGUAGCAAUACGGCAGCGGCAGACGGGAGAGUAACACGUGGGAACGCGCCCUUCGGUUCGGAAUAACUCAGGGAAACUUGAGCUAAUACCGGAUACGCCCUUACGGGGAAAGAUUUAUUGCCGAAGGAACGGCCCGCGUCCGAUUAGCUUGUUGGUGAGGUAACGGCUCACCAAGGCGACGAUCGGUAGCUGGUCUGAGAGGAUGACCAGCCUCACUGGGACUGAGACACGGCCCAGACUCCUACGGGAGGCAGCAGUGGGGAAUAUUGGACAAUGGGCGCAAGCCUGAUCCAGCCAUGCCGCGUGGGUGAUGAAGGCCCUAGGGUUGUAAAGCCCUUUCAGCGGGGAAGAUAAUGACGGUACCCGCAGAAGAAGCCCCGGCUAACUUCGUGCCAGCCGCCGCGGUAA
rnacentral:rRNA from 1 species